GCGGGUAUAGCUUAGUGGUAGAGCGCGACAUUGCCAAUGUCGACAUAGGGGUCCGAUUCCCCUUACCCGCU
rnacentral:tRNA from 3 species